CAGUCGCCACGGUAAUACGUAGGGUGCGAGCGUUAAUCGGAGUUACUGGGCGUAAAGCGUGCGCAGGCGGUUCGUUAAGACAGAUGUGAAAUCCCCGGGCUUAACCUGGGAACUGCAUUUGUGACUGGCGAGCUAGAGUAUGGCAGAGGGGGGUAGAAUUCCACGUGUAGCAGUGAAAUGCGUAGAGAUGUGGAGGAAUACCAAUGGCGAAGGCGAUUCUCUGGGCAAUUCCUGACACUGAGGCACGAAGGCCAGGGGAGCAAACAGGAUUAGAUACCCCAGUAGUCCCUGUCUCUUAUAC
rnacentral:rRNA from 1 species